AAAGGUCACCAACUUGACAAGGUUCAUGAAGUGCUGCCACUGUUGUCAGUUCUGAAAAACACUAGUGCGCCUAUCUACAAAGAGAGGUGUUGGUGGAAAGGAAGAAAAAGUAUGAUGAGAUAAGAGAAAUGAGUUCCAUGGUGCCCAAAUCAUCCAUUUGAGCCUGAAGAUGGAUUCAAUGAGAAGACAAAAGAAGGAAGGUUUCUCUUCAAGACUUCCAACAGAGAGGAAAGAGCCCUAAGAAUGGACUAUAAAACCAUGGAAGACACUGAUGUGAAGAGACAGAUGGCUACAAUAAUAGCGUCAUUAUUCUAUAGCUUUGGGUGAAGUAGAUACUGCAUAUGUUCCAUAAAUUUAAAAGAAAAAAAAAGCCCACGAAGAUGUCUAUUCAUAAUGAAAAAGAAACUUUGUGACAUCGAGACCCUGAGUGUGAAAGAAAAUAUGUCAUGUCAGAUAUGCAUAACCAAGUGAACAUGGUAUUUUCUCUCUUAAAAAUUAAAGAGAGAACAGCUGUGGCUAUUAUUAUUUUGCAACAAAUGAUCAGUUUGAUCUACAGACAAUAUAUUUAAAUUUGACAAUAACUUAACCAGCAAAUAUAAU